rnacentral:rRNA from 1 species
CAGCUAGUUGGUAAGGUAAUGACUUACCAAGGCAACGAUCAGUAUCCGGUCUGAGAGGACGGUCGGACACACUGGAACUGAGACACGGUCCAGACUCCUACGGGAGGCAGCAGUGGGGAAUUUUUGGCAAUGGGGGAAACCCUGACCAAGCAACGCCGCGUGGAUGAUGAAGUAUCUUGGUACGUAAAAUCCUUUCGACGGGGAAGAAAACCGCAAGGUUUAACGGUACCCGUAGAAGAAGCCCCGGCUAACUCCGUGCCAGCAGCCGCGGUAAUACGGGGGGGGCAAGCGUUGUUCGGAAUUACUGGGCGUAAAGGGCGCGUAGGCGGUCUGCUAAGUUGGAUGUGAAAACUCUGGGCUUAACCCAGAGCCUGCAUUCAAUACUGACAGGCUAGAGUUCUGGAGGGGAUAGCGGAAUUCCUGGUGUAGCGGUGAAAUGCGUAGAUAUCAGGAGGAACACCGGUGGCGAAGGCGGCUAUCUGGACAGAGUCUGACGCUGAGGCGCGAAAGCUAGGGGAGCAAACAGGAUUAGAUACCCUGGUAGUCCUAGCCCUAAACGAUGGAUACUUGCUGUGACUGGGAUUGAAUCCAGUCGUGGCGAAGCUAACGCAUUAAGUAUCCCGCCUGGGGAGUACGGUCGCAAGGCUGAAACUCAAAG